GUAAGAGGCUGCGGUCGCCCUCCUUCGUUCGCGGUCAGUGGCGUCUUGUUGUGAGACGGGAGCGCCGGCAAAAUGAACAAAAUGUGGGAAACUUUUCUUUCUGCAGGAUUCAACAGCGCACGUCAAAGCGUUGCUGUAGGAGGGUUCGGAAAUAUUUUAUAAGCUUGAGCGUGAGAGCGAAGUCUCCACAGCGACAAGGAAGCAGGUGUGUAUGAGCGCAUGCGUUGUAGCUCAGAGUUAUGAGUAUAGCCCUUGUAUUCUUCCGCGUGCUGUCAAAGUGCUUUGUUCAAACAAACACUCGGAAAAUAAAGCACAGGAAAUUUAAGCAACAGAUGUUUCAGCAUUUUUCGUUGCAACUGACGGUGUAAAAGCGUCCUGUGACCACGUGUCCAACGUACAGCCCGUCGUUUCACCCAUGUCGAACAACCUCCGAAGCGCGACAUCCGUGACGUCCUGGGAGGGGUGAACACGGGAACGCACCUCCGCGGACGUGCGGGCAGCGACCCGCCCCCUUUUUUUCACUCAUUCGAACAAGAGCGACAUUUUCCCGAUUCCUCGAGCAGCCUCAUCGGCACCUGGACAACCGUAGGUGCGAACGGCAGGGGGAGGGAACCUCAGCCGUGCCACUGUCGCCGUGGGCCUCCUUGCCACACGUGCCUGGUGGGACACGGAGGGCA
rnacentral:lncRNA from 1 species